UGGCUCAGGAUGAACGCUAGCGGCAGGCUAACACAUGCAAGUCGAGGGGCAGCGCGAGUAGCAAUACUUGGCGGCGACCGGCGCAAGGGUGCGUAACGCGUGAGCAACAUGCCCGUAUCAGGGGGAUAAUCCAGGGAAACUUGGUCUAAUACCCCAUAGUAAUUUUGUAAGGCAUCUUAUAAGAUUUAAAGCUUUGGUGGAUACGGAUUGGCUCGCGUGACAUUAGCUGGAUGGUAAGGUAACGGCUUACCAUGGCUAUGAUGUCUAGGGGUUCUGAGAGGAAGGUCCCCCCACACUGGAACUGAGACACGGUCCAGACUCCUACGGGAGGCAGCAGUGAGGAAUAUUGGACAAUGGAUGGAAAUCUGAUCCAGCCAUGCCGCGUGAAGGAAGAAAGGUCCUAUGGAUUGUAAACUUCUUUUGUAUGGGAGCAAUAAGGCCUACGAGUAGGUUGAUGAGAGUACCAUACGAAUAAGCACCGGCUAACUCCGUGCCAGCAGCAGC
rnacentral:rRNA from 1 species